UACGUAGGGGGCAAGCGUUGUCCGGAAUCAUUGGGCGUAAAGAGCGUGUAGGUGGCUCGGUAAGUCCGCUGUAAAAGUCCAGGGCUCAACCCUGGAAAGCCGGUGGAAACUGUCGAGCUAGAGUCCGGAAGAGGCGAGUGGAAUUCCUGGUGUAGCGGUGAAAUGCGCAGAUAUCAGGAGGAACACCAAUGGCGAAGGCAGCUCGCUGGGACGUGACUGACGCUGAGACGCGAAAGCGUGGGGAGCAAACAGG
rnacentral:rRNA from 1 species